CCCUUAGCGGCUCGCCAUCUAACAAGUGUUCAUGAUGUCGGCUUUCAGGCUUAAAUCUUUUUUAAUGUGUUACUUGUUUCACAUCAGGCCCUGCGUGUGCUCCAUCAAUUUCAAUCACUUUCAUCAAUAUGGUAUUGUUCAAAGGUAUUGUUCCUCCAAAAGGUUGCGAUGAGUUCAUGUACAGUGGACAGAAAGGCUUGCAGAGGCUCUUUGUUCUUGCCCUACUGUGUGUGCCUUGGAUACUUCUUGCAAAACCCAAUGUUUCGAUAAUGAGGCACCGCAAAGCCCA